rnacentral:rRNA from 1 species
UCCUUGAAAGAGUGCGUAAUAGCUCACUAGUCGAGAGUCUCUGCGCCGACAAUGUAACGGGGCUAAGAUAUGAACCGAAGCUGUGGAUGUCGUAAGACAUGGUAGGAGAGCGUUCUGUAGGCCGUGGAAGGAGGACUGAAAGGAACUCUGGAGGUAUCAGAAGUGAGAAUGCAGGAAUAAGUAGCGAGAAGGGGAGUGAGAAUCUCCCCCGCUGGAAGACCAAGGUUUUCAGGGU